rnacentral:rRNA from 1 species
AUGUUUCACGUUGCUAGGGACAUUGUCUUCGAUAGGGAAGGGAACAUGCUUGAAGAGAAUUUAAUUGACCCGGUUGACAUGGCUAUGAAAAGGAAGAUAGCUCUCGUUAGAAACAAGCUAGAAGAUCUCAUACGGAAUUCUAAAAGUUCAAUGGAAGGAAUUGAAUUCUUGCACACCAGUUUGUGCAACGCUGAGAUGGCUUUAGCCCAGCUUGUACCAGCUGUAGCAUACAACACACACGAAAAUGAGGAGUCAUUUAUCGGGAGCAACGGAGCAUCAUUCCAAAGCACGUUACCAUCCACACACCUACUGAUAUCAAUGCAAGGGGCACUUGCUCUAUAA